GCGUACACGGUGGAUGCCCUGGCAGUCAGAGGCGAUGAAGGACGUGCUAAUCUGCGAUAAGCGUCGGUAAGGUGAUAUGAACCGUUAUAACCGGCGAUUUCCGAAUGGGGAAACCCAGUGUGAUUCGUCACACUAUCAUUAACUGAAUCCAUAGGUUAAUGAGGCGAACCGGGGGAACUGAAACAUCUAAGUACCCCGAGGAAAAGAAAUCAACCGAGAUUCCCCCAGUAGCGGCGAGCGAACGGGGAGC
rnacentral:rRNA from 1 species